UGCAUUCACUACUAUAAGUCGCUCUAGAUAAGAGCGUCUGCUAAAUGACUAAAA
rfam:Salmo salar isolate Sally breed double haploid chromosome ssa06, whole genome shotgun sequence.